rnacentral:rRNA from 1 species
GAUGAACGCUGGCGGCGUGCCUAAUACAUGCAAGUCGAGCGAACGGACGAGAAGCUUGCUUUUCUGAUGUUAGCGGCGGACGGGUGAGUAACACGUGGAUAACCUACCUAUAAGACUGGGAUAACUUCGGGAAACCGGAGCUAAUACCGGAUAAUAUUUUGAACCGCAUGGUUCAAUAGUGAAAGACGGUCUUGCUGUCACUUAUAGAUGGAUCCGCGCUGCAUUAGCUAGUUGGUAAGGUAACGGCUUACCAAGGCAACGAUGCAUAGCCGACCUGAGAGGAUGAUCGGCCACACUGGAACUGAGACACGGUCCAGACUCCUACGGGAGGCAGCAGUAGGGAAUCUUCCGCAAUGGGCGAAAGCCUGACGGAGCAACGCCGCGUGAGUGAUGAAGGUCUUCGGAUCGUAAAACUCUGUUAUUAGGGAAGAACAUAUGUGUAAGUAACUGUGCACAUCUUGACGGUACCUAAUCAGAAAGCCACGGCUAACUACGUG